CCCUGAGGAGACAGCGGGCAGCAGGCUAGGGGCUGGGCGGCGGUUGAGACAGCGGCUGUAUUGGGGGAUAGGUGACGGUCGCGAGGCUGCCUGAGCUUCUGAGUGAGCUCGGAGCUUUGGAGAACGCGUGAGGGGCGACCUGCGGCGCCAGGAGCGGGCAGAGGCGCGGCGGCGCGGCUGCAGUCUGGGUGGGAAGUUACGGUUUACAGCGAAGUCCACCCAGCGUUUCCGAGGUGAGGGCGCCGCGCCUGGCCGGGCGGGCGGUGAGUCCGGGACCGCGGGUGCACAGCUGGGUCGAGCUGCGGCUGUCCCAAGUUUUGCUGCGAGCGGCGGCGGAGGAGCGGCGGGGGGGAUGGGGAGGCGUGUGCUGCGGCGCCGCCGGGGCCUAAGUUCCCUGCGCUCGAUUCCUCGCCUGCCGCUGCCGCCCGCACCCCACCUCUCGUGGGCGCCGGGGCAGAAACUCGCUAGUGGGUGUUCUGUGGCAUCCCAGGGGGUGGAGGGACGGAGCAGCUUCGGGGGCAUGUCCUCGUAUAUCCUGUGGAGGACACUGACCCCGCAUCCCACCCUUGAGGCCAGAAAUCAGUUCCCUCUGGGGACCUGAGAGGCGAGAGCGCUCGCGUCCCUGACUUGCAAAGUUGGGGUCUUUAGUGGCCUUCGGGAUUUUGCUCCUGUCGGUGUCUCCAGGCUGGUGAUGGGCAAGCCAGGUGUGCCAGGUCCAGGAUGCACGUGAGGAGCGUUUGUAGCCAUCACUGAAUCACCUCAUGACUAGCGGGACAAGCCUCAAAUUAACCGCAGGGUUUCCGGGCCUCACUCUGUUGCCCAGGCUAGAGUGCCAUGGCAGGAUCUCAGCUCACUGCAACCUCCACCUCCUGGCUCAAGCAAUCCUCCCACCUCAGCCUCCUGAGUAGCUGCAACUAUAGGCAAUCUGAAGGCAAAUGCUGUUUAGAUGCAGGCGAAGGUUCCUGGUGACCCAGGCUCUCACCAGCAGAUUGUCCCUUACCGUCCUCCUGAGGGUGUCUGGAGCUUCAGUGCUGUGUGCUCUUGGCCUCCACACUGGGGUGCCACCGACUCCCACUGUCCAGGGCUUCCAGUGGACUCUCCGAGGCACUGAUGCAGAAACUUCCCCAUUCGGUGCACCAAGAGCAGCCUCACACGGUGUGGGCCGACAGGAAGAGCUGCCAGAUCCAACAGUGCUGAAAACUCAUCCCUGUGUGACCUCAUGUAAGCCAUGUAACUUUGUGAACCUGCAGUUUUAUCAUUUAGAAACUUGAAAGAUUUCAUUCUGACACAGAAUGUCAGGUCUCCCAGACCCCAGAAAAUGCAUUGACUUAAAGCCUUUGAUAGAUCUCAAAGCAGUAUCCUUACAGUGUCAUUGGAGGAUGGUGUGGGCUGCAGAGACGGAUGCUUUCAAAUGGAUUGAUCCAGUCCUCCUUCCUUCACUUCCACAUGAAUGCUGGGCAGCCCAGGGUCACACCCACUGCACCCUCAACUCAGGCAAGUCCAGCAGCCAAACUGAGGAGACCCGGGCUACAGAACAGUCUCCCAAGUUCCAGGCUCACAAAACCUAGGUGGGAAUGAAAGCUGAGAAAGUGAGGAGGUGGUUCAGGGGGUCAUUCUUUCCUGCUCAUUCCUCUCACCUCAAACUCACCUACUGCACAGCAACACUGAGGAUCACCAACUAACCCUGACCGGAACCAUGAUCUUGCCAUGUUCUGUUAGUGGAAUGCAACCAAAAAUCCAUGGUGUUAGUCCAACUCAACAAAAUAUACAUCAAACCAUAUUCCACAAGACCUGCUUGUGGCCCUGUUCUUUUCAGUAUAUGGGAAAACAAAAUAGCCUCAGGUUUACAAAAAUUCCCAAGAUAGAUGGUCACACAUGUUUUCAGGAGACCUCUAUAUAAAUGAUUUUGAUCACUUGAUACCUUGAAAAGAGGUCUUGUGGCACUUGAAUGACAUCCAUAAGUGAUAAGUAUGAAAUGUAGUGCUCAGUGACAUUGAAAAACUAAUCAGCCCACAUAGAGGAAGAGCUCUGGACGUAGGGAUGCCAAACUGGUCUAGAGUGUAAUGAAAGCCCAAGAUGGUGCCCCACUGAGAAAAGAAAUCAACAUAACAGUGGGUUGCAGGAAGAAGAAUACUGAGACAGGAAAGAAAACAUUUUUAAAAAUGAAUUAUUCAUUCACUUUCUAGUGGAUACAGAAAAAACUGCAGAAGACCCAGAGGAUAUCAGGGCAGGCUAAAAGUUUGGUAUCUUACACCUGUGGAAAAGCCUUAGGCUCUGUUUUAUCUUAGAGCAGGUGGGGUGACUUCAUGACUGCCAUUAAGAAAAUAUAACCUGUUGGGAAACUGUUUCUGCCUUGACGAUUUUGUACAGACAAGAGCUAAACAGUGAGGAAUAUGCUUAGAUGUAUUGGGAAAGAGAUGGGUCUGUGCCAUUGUCACGAGGUUACACGAAUACUGAGAGUGAAUGCUGAAGGAAUGAUCCCCAUUGGUGGUGACCCUCAGGUGAGACCAGGGUGCCUGUGUUUCAGCAAAGCCUGGGCAAUUGGAAUGCAGGGCUCCUAAGAUUCCACGACACCCCCACCUUCUAAUUCUGUUAUUGCAACUGGAGACGGUUACCUGGCACGCUGGCGACAAUCUUCCUCACUCUUGUCAGACUCUGA
ensembl:lincRNA